rnacentral:rRNA from 1 species
UACGUAGGGUGCAAGCGUUGUCCGGAAUUAUUGGGCGUAAAGAGCUCGUAGGCGGUCAGUCGCGUCGAUCGUGAAAGCCCGAGGCUCAACCUCGGAAUUGCGGUCGAUACGGGCUGACUAGAGUUCGGUAGGGGAGACUGGAAUUCCUGGUGUAGCGGUGAAAUGCGCAGAUAUCAGGAGGAACACCAAUGGCGAAGGCAGCUCGCUGGGACGGUACUGACGCUGAGACGCGAAAGCGUGGGGAGCAAACAGG